rnacentral:rRNA from 1 species
CUAGCGACUUCAGAGUUUGAUCCUGGCUCAGGACGAACGCUGGCGGCGUGCUUAACACAUGCAAGUCGAGCGGUAAGGCUCCUUCGGGAGUACACGAGCGGCGAACGGGUGAGUAACACGUGAGCAAUCUGCCCUUCACUUCGGGAUAACUCCGGGAAACCGGUGCUAAUACCGAAUACGACCACUUCAGGCAUCUGAUGGUGGUGGAAAGUUCCGGCGGUGAAGGAUGAGCUCGCGGCCUAUCAGCUUGUUGGUGAGGUAACGGCCCACCAAGGCAACGACGGGUAGCCGGCCUGAGAGGGUGACCGGCCACACUGGGACUGAGACACGGCCCAG